UUGAAUUUCAAACCCAAUGGCUAGUGGCUAGUGACGUGGCAAAAAUCUGGGUUGUCCAAUUCUUAAAUCAACGGUCCAGGUUUUUCGGCAAAAAAACUUUAUAAAACAAAUGUUAGAAUUAUUACCAUUGUCCAAUUUUGGGUUGUUGGAUUUCAAUCUUUUUGAAAUCCAACUGUCUAGAUGAAUUAACUUAAUUAAAAUUAUUAAAAAAAUAUUUAAAAAGACAUAAAAAAGAAAGCGAAUUUUUUUAUUUUUAUUUUCUAUAAAUACCUAUCCAUCUUCUUCCACCUUACAUCACAUUUCAAUAUUUUCAACACUUUGAACCAAAGCUUUCACAAAAAUAGUACUUUCAGAUAAUGACAUGUAACGUGACAAGAUUAGAUAAAAAUCCUAUCUGAAAUUAAAAAUAAAAUUAUUUUUAUUAAUUUAUAAAAAGUUAAUGACAUUUUAAUACAAAUUGACUAGACUUUGGGCCAGCUCAUUUUUUAGGAUGCAUUUGGCCUUACUGUUUAUCGAAGUCAAUUACUAUUCAUUUGGGUGGAUUAAAUGGAUUUUGGGUUAACUCAUUUUU
rnacentral:lncRNA from 1 species